AAUUGUGUUUUCUCUGAUGAUAUAUCGAGUAGGAAUCUCAUUGAGCUUCAGUCAUGCGUUGCUAUGAAAUCAAUUUUAAUCUCUAACUGAUAAAACAAUU